GACGAACGCUGGCGGCGUGCUUAACACAUGCAAGUCGAACGGAAAGGCCCUGCUUUUGUGGGGUGCUCGAGUGGCGAACGGGUGAGUAACACGUGAGUAACCUGCCCUUGACUUUGGGAUAACUUCAGGAAACUGGGGCUACUACCGGCUAUUAGCUCCUGCUGCAUGGUGGGGGUUGGAAAGUUUCGGUGGUUGGUGAUGGACUCGCGGCUUAUCAGCUUGUUGGUGGGGUAGUGGCUUACCCAGGCUUUGACGGGUAGCCGGCCUGAGAGGGUGACCGGCCACAUGGGGACUGAGAUACGGCCCAGACGACUACGGGAGGCAGCAGGGGGGAAUAUUGCACAAUGAGCGGGAGCCUGAUGCAGCAACGCCGCGUGCGGGAUGACGGCCUUCGGGUUGUAAACCGAUUUCGCCUGUGACGAAGCGUGAGUGACGGUAAUGGGUAAAGAAGCACCGGCUAACUACGUG
rnacentral:rRNA from 1 species